rnacentral:rRNA from 1 species
ACCUUCGGGAGGCUUGCACAGGUGCUGCAUGGCUGUCGUCAGCUCGUGUCGUGAGAUGUUCGGUUAAGUCCGCUAACGAGCGCAACCCUCGCUGUGUGUUAUAUGUGUCACACGGGACUGCCGGUCUUAAGCCGGAGGAAGGUGGGGAUGAUGUCAAGUCAGCAUGGCCUUUAUAUCCUGGGCUACACACACGCUACCAUGGCCAACACAAUAGGUUGCUAAGCCGCGAGGUGGCGCCAAUCCAUAAAGUUGGUCUCAGUUCAGAUUGUAGGCUGCAACCCGCCUGCAUGAAGAUGGAGUUGCUAGUAACCGCAGGUCAGCUAUACUGCGGUGAAUACGUUCCCGGGGCUU